rnacentral:rRNA from 1 species
AUGACUUCACACCUAAUGAAGGUUUUAGCAAUCGCCAACCGUUGCUCGAUCGGGGGAAAACCUGUCGCGAGAGACAUAUACACCAGCCUCUUUCUCUCCUGCGAUCCACCUCUGCUCUCUUCUCCUUCAGAAACCCUAGAGUUUCAGGGAGGAGCGGAUCCACCAGCACUGGAGAAGACGUUGCAGCAGGUGGGCACAAAAUCUGAUCCGAUGGUGCCUUACCCGCUGUCAAUGGCAACGUGCGGUGCGCAGUUCAUGUACCAGUUCUUCAAGUGGCUCAUUGCCAACCUACGAAGUGGUCAUCAACCCGAGCUAUGGUGA